rnacentral:siRNA from 1 species
CUAAAGAUCUUAUUUAUCUAACUU